CUGGGAAAAGGCACUUUGCUCUCCCCAAUGAAGAACCUGUCCUUUUCUCUGCCGGUGGAGGGACGCUGAAGGAGAUGAAGGCUUUUUUGAUCGUUUUGCUGGUUGCUGUCCUGUGGGCAGGGAGAGCUUUCUCACUGCGUUGCCAUGUGUGCAGCACUAAAAAUGGCAGCUGUAGCAAUCCAACCAACUGCUCCAAAACUGAUUUCUACUGCACAACGUUGAGUAACGGCCUCAACUCCAGCAUGUAUUUCCUGGAGAAGAACUGUUCCUCCGUGUGCCCCCUUUCCACACGUCAACCUUUUCUUUCCUGCUGCCGGACUGAUCUGUGCAAUGGGGCCAAUGGCAUGAGACUUGGCUGCUUUGCCUUGGUAAUGUGCAUAUUUGCCAGCUUUUUUGGUGCCUCUGUCAGGACUGGAGUGUGAUGUGCUGAGCAGAGUGGGCUUUGCCCCAUGAAAAAUGAGCCAAGGAAGAGUUAAACCUUCUCUCUGCAUAAUGAGUCUUUUCUGCCAGAUGUUAUUUCAGAUCCCAUCACCAAAUAGCAUUUUUAUUAGGUGACUGUGACCUCUCUGUCAAGUCCCAUCCCUCUUACCAGGUCCAUAGCAUUAUCUUCUAGCUCCUUGGGACAUGGGAGACUUAUGAAACUCAACUGAACAGUCCUAUAUCUACAUGUGAAGCAACCAGGAGAGGCAGGGAUCUGUUGACUGGAGUCACGUGGAGAGAGUUACUUCAUUUACAUGGCUUAUUUUCUGGUGAACAUGAUGCAGAAAUGAAGCUUAAGAUUCACUGAUGUGUAUACCUGAAAAAUAUUCAAUUCAAAAUAAAUCUAUUUCCAGUCUGUUCCCAGGUGUGAGGCCAUUUCUGUGAUGUCUCGGCAGGGAAGUGUUGAUCCCCAGGAGCAUGUGUUAGAACAUAAGGUAGGAGAGACUGGGCCCAAACCAGAAUGACUCAUCUCCAGCCAUCCUGGUUUUAUCUAAUGCCCCCUCAGUAAGAGACUAGUGCCCAGAUUCCAGCAGUUAUGCUGCAACCACCCAUUUUGGGAAAAGAGGGUUUUUUGAGCAAAGUUUCCAUGGUGGCUUAGGAAAUCCAUCAUCUCUGGAGCUGUUGGUGAUGUAGGACAAGGUAUACAAGGCCAUAUUUUCAGAGUUGCUGAGCUUCCUAUGCUAAGCAGUAGGUGUAAAUGCAGUUCAUCAUCUCUAGAAAUUGGGAACUCUGUAUUUUCUGGCUCCAGCGGGCCUUUGUAUAUGCCACGCUUUUUGCCUUUUCUUGCACUGCAACAGCAUGACUGUUUGCACCAGCGGGUUUUCCGGAUGCUUUAAAAAUCUUUCUGACGCAUGAAAUUAAAACUCCUCAGAUCUAGUUUAGUUUGGCUUGCUGGGAAUUAAAGCAUCGUGUUCAUGGAUUCGUUAUGUGCAAACACAAAAGCACUCAAAGAUGUGUAAUGAUCCUCUUUGUCCACCAGAUGGCAUCACAAACUUUUUUGUAGUUCACACCUUCAAAUUGCUUUGGCUUUGGAAUUGCUUCUGCUUUUUUCUUCCUUGUGUGGUUUGCCAGCUCCCCACUUCCACAGCUGCAUGGCAGGGCUGGUGGGG